ensembl:lncRNA
GUUAGAAAUCCACAAACCUUUAGCUAUAAAAUGAUGCUGUAUAUCGACCCUAGUUGAUCAUGUCCGCCGCUUCCGGUUGUUUCCUCGUCGCUGCUGAUGUCACACCGCCACGCCGUGACGUCACUCCGUGCCACUUGCUGUCUCGCUUUUUGAUGCGGUUCUUUGAAAAGUCGCGUGCAGGAGCUUUAGCCGUUAGCUGCUGCUCGGAAAGGAGGAUACUCCGACUGCAAUAAAACGGGCGCAGUAAUAAAACGCGCACGAAGCUCAGAACCGCACUCAAGUUUUUUAUUUUUAUUUUUAUUUUAUUUUAAAACAAUAAAAUAUAUUAGUAGUUCCGUUAGCGAGGCUAAGCUGAGGGUUACAGCUGGCUAACUAACGCUAGCUUUACAUAUUUACCUUCAGCUCCUUGUGCUAGCCGGUUUCAGGGUUCAGCUAAUGUUUGAAACCGAGCUGAGAAGUAGGAUUUCUGAAAAGUACCAAGAUAUAUAGAUAGAUAGAUAGAUAAAUAAAUAAAUAUAAAAGGCCCGCUAUUAAUGCAGCAAAAGACUGACAGGUUCCAGUGACAGAUGGUCAGCGUCGUUGGUCACGGAGAGUCACCGACCGUGCCUGUGUUUUGGUAAUCCUUCUUGUUUUGACAAGCUUGAGUCCAGCUGUAGGUCUUUUGAGAAUUCAUCGUUACUUGAUUAGUGCUGUGAAGUCUAUACGGUGAUUUAAAGUACCGAAGUGGUUUAGAUAAACAGAAUCGUGUGUGAUUUGGAGAAGAAAAUCAUAUUGUAAUAUGGUACACUAGGGCUGGGCGAUAUGAAAAAAACGUCAUAUAGGAAUACUUGAGGACGUUUCUACGAAAUGAGAUGCAUAUCUCUGACUACGUUUACAUGGACAGCAGUAAUGUAAUUAUUGACCUUAUUCUGAAUAAAACAAUAUUGUGAUUAAGGUGUUUUCAUGAGUUGCUUUUAGAAUAUUCCUUUCAUGUUCCCAUUUUACAUGUUAUAGAACAUAGAUCGAUUAACAGCACACGUCAUUACGUCACUGCGCCAUGGUGUCUGACGUCCCUCCAGAAUUUCACGUAUCAACAUACAGUUCGUCUUCAUUAUGGUACCGUAUACAGUUUUGGGGUGUUUAAUUUUUUAUUUUAAAAGCCUCAAGUGCAGUUAAUUAUUUGUCAUGCUUUAUGUGCAAAUAGACGACUGCUUGAAGCUGUGGGCUGCGUCCCAAACCGCGUACUUACCUACUAUAUAGUAGCUAAAAUACAUGUAUUUCGCCUACUAUAUAGUAGGUAAGUACGCGGUUUGGGACGCAGACGCGCUGUCUUGUUUGCGGACAAACGGUUGAGCGCUGCCGUGUGUGAUCGUGUCCUGUCGCAAAAUGCAGUGAAAACUCCUACACGGUGUUAAUAGUGUGAUUAAGGUGUUUACAUGUCUGUAAUACACUACAAUAAUAUGACUAAAACAAGAAUACUCCACAUGUCUUAAUUCGAUUUAUGUUUACUUCGAGUAUGACUUUAAUCGGAUUAAGGUCAUCAGUAAUCGCCUGUUACAUGCUAGUUUCUUAAUAAGAGUAUCGGGUUAAUAUCGGAUUAUUGUUGUCCAUGUAAACGUACUGAUUGUUUAGACCACAGCGCCGCUGAGAUCUUGCUUCUGAUUGGCUGACAGAUGUUCUGAAUGUGUGUGAUUAAUUUUCAGUUCAAUGCACAGCUAAAAAAUCACUCCGGCAAGUUAAUGGAAAUAACGGAAAGGUUAAACAAAACAAAAUGACACAGUUUUAAUCGUACAGUAAGCAAAUAAGUAAGCAACGACAAAAUUAAUUUGGGUUAAAUGUUUCUGGGGACAAGUGGACGCGCAUCAGGGCUGAGAGACGGGAUCUGUACUUGUUUUUUAUGAUGUUGAAAUGUGAAAAACCCCUCUCACGAGCUGCAUUGCUCAAAGGAAGGAAUAGUACGGGACAACUUUAGUACCUUGUAGAUAUUGGAGUAACAAUCUGGAUUGCUUCUGUUAACUACCGUGACUAAAUCAUACACAGAGGAUGCUGCCAAGCGGUUUCCUGCUCGCUUUAAACGCAUCCAUUCUUUUAUAGUUGUGUCUCUGUCAAGAGGCAAGAUGGCCUCAUAUUUAUUGAGAAUGGUGCUGAUAGUCGUGUUGUCAUGUGGAGGUCUUGCAUUUCUUGAGGCAGGAUCAAAAAACUAAAAAAAUGAUCACAUGACUUUAGAGAUCCAACUCACCAGUUAAACCUCUGAGCAAAUCAGUUUUGUCCCUGUCAGCAUCAGCAUUGGAAAUGGUGUGAUUCCUGUGCUGGCCUUCUCCAUCAAGCAAAAGAGUGAACUGUCCGAUAGCUAGCACGAGUUUGAUCUGACGUUUCUUCUGAGUUGGCAGAAUGCCAAAGAAGUUGCUUAAUGUCUGUUGUUUUUUGAAUAUCUCUCUCAGUAUUACAGUUCGACGGUGACUGUGCAUUUACAGCUAUUGGUACGCAAAUGAGUGGUCUAGGCUAGUUAACCCUCCGCAUUUUUAAUUUCGGUCACGCACGUGCACCAGUUAUAUGCACCCCCGCAGUUACUGGAGAGAGAGACAGAGAGAGAGGGGUAACGGUCACGCCGCUUCUCCUCGUGGCUGCAUUACCGCCUCAUGAUGUGCAUUAUUAUCUAACAAUUCAAUGGACCGGAGUCAGUUAUUCUUUACAUAUAAUUUAGCUAACAAACCAUCUGCCAAACAGUAGUAAAAUAAACAAACAAAUGUUUUGAUGGUACUUUUCUUUAAUGCCUACAAAGACAAAGAAGAAAAUCAUUUAUAAAUAAUUACUUCAAAUCAACGGCAUCCGUUUCAUUUGUAAUUAUUAAAAUCAUUUAAAGAAAUAUUUCACAGUAUCUCAGAAAAGUGUAUCGUGUAAUCAUUUAUCACGAUAUCGAUAUAUCGCCCAACCCUGCGAUACUCGAUAUUUAGAAUUGCUGAAUGCUUUUACUGAAGAUCUUUCCAACACACUUAGCACUGACUCGAUAGUAUACAGUUGUAUAAGUGUAAUGAUUUAUAAGCACAUUAUCCGAUGUCACCCAGACGAGGACGGGUUCCAUCUUAAGAGGAACCUGAUUGGUCAGAAGUUAUCGAUCUUUCUUUUUCCAUAAGAGCAUCUUUGACAGUAGUGCCGGCUGUAAUUCAAACCACAGGUUUAUAUGAAUGCACUCAGUCUAAUAUGGUCUUGUUUCUACAGUAACUUACACUCACAGUCCACUUUAUUAGGAACACUCAUGCUCAUUCAUGCAGUUAUCUAAUCAGCCAAUCAUGUAUCAGCAGCACAAAGCAUAAAAUCAUGAAGGCAGAGGUCAAGAGCUACAGUUAAUGUUCACAUCAGAAUGCAGGAAAUAUGUGUGCU